UAGUUAUUAAUAAAGUCAUUUAUAUUGAUACAUUAGGUUUAGCUAUACCAGAUAGUUUAAUGUUCAAUUUAAACAACUUUAUUAGUGGCUAUAAUUCAUGUUUAAUGAACAGUUUAAGUGUGGCAGAAAUACAAAUAGCACAUAGUCCUAACUUAAAUGGCUAUCCUCAUAAUGCAUGUCAGGAAAUGUGUUAUUUAUAUCCAAAACAGACUUGUGGUUCAGUAUGUGGACCAUCCGUUAUAGUGGGAAUAACAGUACUUUUACUUCGACAAGAUAUUUUUAACGCUCAGUCGCAUGAUUAUUUAGGGUGAUAGGGUUAUUUAUUUUGGAAUAGCAUAUUAUUGUAUUUUAAAGGUGUUAUCCCUCGGGUCCUAAAAACGCCUUUAAUUUAUGGUUUCUGUUAUUCUUAAAUAGAUAUUGUUAGGGACCUCAUGCUGGCGGAUCAGUCGCAUGAUUAUUUAGGGUGAUAGGGUUAUUUAUUUUGGAAUAGCAUAUUAUUGUAUUUUAAAGGUGUUAUCCCUCGGUCGAAGCUCUGGUCCUAAAAACGCCUUUAAUUUAUGGUUUCUGUUAUUCUUAAAUAGAUAUUGUUAGGGACCUCAUGCUGGCGGAUCAGUCGCAUGAUUAUUUAGGGUGAUAGGGUUAUUUAUUUUGGAAUAGCAUAUUAUUGUAUUUUAAAGGUGUUAUCCCUCGGUCGAAGCUAUGGUCCUAAAAACGCCUUUAAUUUAUGGUUUCUGUUAUUCUUAAAUAGAUAUUGUUAGGGACCUCAUGCUGGCGGAUCAGUCGCAUGAUUAUUUAUGGUGAUAGGGUUAUUUAUUUUAGAAUAGCAUAUCAUUGUAUUUUAAAGGUGUUAUGUCUCGGUCGAAGCUCGGGUCCUAAAAACGCCUUUAAUUUAUGGUUUCUGUUAUUCUUAAAUAGAUGUACGUGUUGGCGAGGGGGUACAUUAAUAAUUAUAUGUUUUUGUAGUACAUGUUCCUUGUUUUAUAAUAAAACUACGCCCUUUCAUUUUUCAGAAGAAAAGUAUAGAAAAUAUUUCCAAUUAUCUAUCUUGAGAUCACAGAGAUUGAAUGCUGCAGGUCUUGUGUUUAGUGUAUAGACUAAUUGGUGGAUGUUAUUAACAUUAACCUUUUAGCAAAGGUUAGCUUGAUGAUGUUACUGACUUUGCAGUGUAGUGGAAGAUGUUAACCUAACUUUGGUAGACAACAAGCCUAACCCUGAAGUCAACGAUGUACAAUAUGUCAGUGUCACGGUUCCACUACCAAACGUAACGCGAAUAUAAACAAUACUUACGGGUACAUGUAUUUACUUUGAUUGAAAUGAGGUCAACUUAAAAAUUUGUGUAGAUGUGUUAUUUGUUGUAACAGUUAUAUCCAUAAAAGUUAUAUCCAUAAAAUGUAAA